GGUUAAGCGACUAAGCGUACACGGUGGAUGCCCGGCAGUCAGAGGCGAUGAAGGACGUGCUAAUCUGCGAAAAGCGUCGGUAAGGUGAUAUGAACCGUUAUAACCGGCGAUGUCCGAAUGGGAAACCCAGUGUGAUUCGUCACACUAUCGUUAACUGAAUACAUAGGUUAACGAGGCGAACCGGGGAACUGAAACAUCUAAGUACCCCGAGGAAAAGAAAUCAACCGAGAUUCCCCAGUAGCGGCGAGCGAACGGGGAGCAGCCCAGAGUCUGAAUCAGCUUGUGUGUUAGUGGAACGGUCUGGAAAGUCCGACGGUACAGGGUGAUAGUCCCGUACACCAAAAUGCACAGGUUGUGAACUCGAAGAGUAGGGCGGGACACGUGGUAUCCUGUCUGAAUAUGGGGGACCAUCCUCCAAGGCUAAAUACUCCUGACUGACCGAUAGUGAACCAGUACCGUGAGGGAAAGGCGAAAAGAACCCCGGCGAGGGGUGAAAAAGAACCUGAAACCGUGUACGUACAAGCAGUGGGAGCACCUUCGGGUGUGACUGCGUACCUUUGUAUAAUGGGUCAGCGACUUAUAUUCUGUAGCAAGGUUAACCGUAUAGGGGAGCCGCAGGGAAACCGAGUCUUAACUGGGCGUUAAGUUGCAGGGUAUAGACCCGAAACCCGGUGAUCUAGCCAUGGGCAGGUUGAAGGUUGGGUAACACUAACUGGAGGACCGAACCGACUAAUGUUGAAAAAUUAGCGGAUGACUUGUGGCUGGGGUGAAAGGCCAAUCAAACCGGGAGAUAGCUGGUUCUCCCCGAAAGCUAUUUAGGUAGCGCCUCGUGAACUCAUCUUCGGGGGUAGAGCACUGUUUCGGCUAGGGGUCAUCCCGACUUACCAACCCGAUGCAAACUACGAAUACCGAAGAAUGUUAUCACGGGAGACACACGGCGGGUGCUAACGUCCGUCGUGAAGAGGGAAACAACCCAGACCGCCAGCUAAGGUCCCAAAGUCAUGGUUAAGUGGGAAACGAUGUGGGAAGGCACAGACAGCCAGGAUGUUGGCUUAGAAGCAGCCAUCAUUUAAAGAAAGCGUAAUAGCUCACUGGUCGAGUCGGCCUGCGCGGAAGAUGUAACGGGGCUAAACCAUGCACCGAAGCUGCGGCAGCGACACUAUGUGUUGUUGGGUAGGGGAGCGUUCUGUAAGCCUGCGAAGGUGUGCUGUGAGGCAUGCUGGAGGUAUCAGAAGUGCGAAUGCUGACAUAAGUAACGAUAAAGCGGGUGAAAAGCCCGCUCGCCGGAAGACCAAGGGUUCCUGUCCAACGUUAAUCGGGGCAGGGUGAGUCGACCCCAAGGCGAGGCCGAAAGGCGUAGUCGAUGGGAAACAGGUUAAUAUUCCUGUACUUGGUGUUACUGCGAAGGGGGACGGAGAAGGCUAUGUUAGCCGGGCGACGGUUGUCCCGGUUUAAGCAUGUAGGCUGAUUGUCCAGGCAAAUCCGGAUAAUCAAGGCUGAGGUGUGAUGACGAGGCACUACGGUGCUGAAGUAACAAAUGCCCUGCUUCCGGAAAAGCCUCUAAGCAUCAGGUAACAUCAAAUCGUACCCCAAACCGACACAGGUGGUCAGGUAGAGAAUACCAAGGCGCUUGAGAGAACUCGGGUGAAGGAACUAGGCAAAAUGGUGCCGUAACUUCGGGAGAAGGCACGCUGGUGUGUAGGUGAAGUCCCUGCGGAUGGAGCUGAGACCAGUCGAAGAUACCAGCUGGCUGCAACUGUUUAUUAAAAACACAGCACUGUGCAAACACGAAAGUGGACGUAUACGGUGUGACGCCUGCCCGGUGCCGGAAGGUUAAUUGAUGGGGUUAUCCGUAAGGAGAAGCUCUUGAUCGAAGCCCCGGUAAACGGCGGCCGUAACUAUAACGGUCCUAAGGUAGCGAAAUUCCUUGUCGGGUAAGUUCCGACCUGCACGAAUGGCGUAAUGAUGGCCAGGCUGUCUCCACCCGAGACUCAGUGAAAUUGAACUCGCUGUGAAGAUGCAGUGUACCCGCGGCAAGACGGAAAGACCCCGUGAACCUUUACUAUAGCUUGACACUGAACAUUGAGCCUUGAUGUGUAGGAUAGGUGGGAGGCUUUGAAGCGUGGACGCCAGUCUGCGUGGAGCCAACCUUGAAAUACCACCCUUUAAUGUUUGAUGUUCUAACGUUGGCCCCUUACCGGGGUUGCGGACAGUGUCUGGUGGGUAGUUUGACUGGGGCGGUCUCCUCCCAAAGCGUAACGGAGGAGCACGAAGGUUAGCUAAUCCUGGUCGGACAUCAGGAGGUUAGUGCAAUGGCAUAAGCUAGCUUGACUGCGAGCGUGACGGCGCGAGCAGGUGCAGCAGGUCAUAGUGAUCCGGUGGUUCUGAAUGGAAGGGCCAUCGCUCAACGGAUAAAAGGUACUCCGGGGAUAACAGGCUGAUACCGCCCAAGAGUUCAUAUCGACGGCGGUGUUUGGCACCUCGAUGUCGGCUCAUCACAUCCUGGGGCUGAAGUAGGUCCCAAGGGUAUGGCUGUUCGCCAUUUAAAGUGGUACGCGAGCUGGGUUUAGAACGUCGUGAGACAGUUCGGUCCCUAUCUGCCGUGGGCGCUGGAGAAUUGAGGGGGCUGCUCCUAGUACGAGAGGACCGGAGUGGACGCAUCACUGGUGUUCGGGUUGUCAUGCCAAUGGCACUGCCCGGUAGCUAAAUGCGGAAGAGAUAAGUGCUGAAAGCAUCUAAGCACGAAACUUGCCCCGAGAUGAGUUCUCCCUGAGACUUUAAGUCUCCUGAAGGAACGUUGAAGACGACGACGUUGAUAGGCCGGGUGUGUAAGCGCAGCGAUGCGUUGAGCUAACCGGUACUAAUGAACCGUGAGGCUUAACCUU
rnacentral:rRNA from 1 species